GGUGGACUUAAUGAGGGGGUCAAAAGGGUCCUUAUCCCGAAAUCCCGGGCUUGAUGACAUGAAAUCCCGAGGUCCCGAAUUUAAAAAAAUAAAUACCGACAUCCCGAAAUACGAAAAAAAAAAAUCCCGGAUCCCGAAAGGAUCAAUCCCGAAAUCCCGAGCUUAAAACACCCGAUCUCGCAUCCCGAAAAAUGUACUGCCCUCUCUCACUUAAUAUUCAACUGACCAUUUAUAUUUUCUGGUGCAAAAAAAAAUGAUUGUGAUCAAAUUAGACACCAUUGAUGUAUGUCGUUAAUGACAUAGAUACACACUAUUUUCAAAUAGAC
rnacentral:lncRNA from 1 species